UAUAAUAAUUUAAACUAGAGUUAAUAUUUUUAAGUUAAGAGUUUUAGUUUUUCUAUGAAUCAAUGCGAGGAUAACAUAAUAUACACAGAUAAAUAUGAAAAUAUCAAGAAAAUCAGCAAAUUAGUAGAGAUGAGAAAGCAGUCACUAAUGAACCUAAUUAGAAGUUGUAAAUAUAUUUUAUUGUAAUUAUAAUAGAAGCUAAUGAUAUAAUAUUGAUUUAAAUUAAUCAAUUAAAGUGGAUUUAUACUUCAUGAACUUUGGAUAUAUAAAAUCUAAAGAGCAAUACUAAGUAAUGAAAAAGAGAAGCUAUGGAGUAUGAAAUAAUGGUUGGUUAAGUAACAUUACCUGAAGAACAGGAAACAGUAACUGAAACUAUGUUCUUCCACAUUUAAUCUUAAUAAGUUCAGCAGUUUGAAUGUUAAUGAGAUAUUAUUAUAAACAAACUGCAUUUGUAGAUUUUGGAAAGAAUUAUAUCUUUACAAUAACUAUUAUUAUUUACAAUUGUUGUGUUAAGGAAACAAUCACUAUUAUUUUAAUCGCCCAAGAUGUAUUCAUAGUAAUUGUAGGUAUCAUAGUAAUUUUAUGAAAUCAUCACAACAUCUAACGUUAGGUUUUAUGAAUUGAACAAUUUUUUGUUUAUAACAGCACACAACCAAGAUAUUGACAUUGCUGCAAAUUAACACUUGCAUUUAUUAGUUAAUUAUCUACAUAUAUAUGAAUACAUCUAUAUUUAGGUAGUAAUGCAUUGAAUUUGGUGCACCUGUGUGUGUUCAGUAGUAAUGUCUGUAUUGUUUAAUAAGUUGUUACAUAUGCUUAUUUUUCUAUGUAGACUGCAUUAUGUUAAGGAAGAUAUUUGGUGCCUUAUUUUAAUAAAAAAUAACCAUAA